UAGGGAAUCUUCGGCAAUGGGGGGAACCCUGACCGAGCAACGCCGCGCGAGUGAAGAAGGGUUUCGGAGCGUAAAGCUCUGUUGUUAAGGAAGAACGAGUGUGAGAAUGGAAAGUUCAUACUGUGACGGUACUUAACCAGAAAGGGACGGCUAACUACGUGCCAGCAGCCGCGGUAAUACGUAGGUCCCGAGGGUUGUCCGGAGUUAUUGGGCGUAAAGCGAGCGCAGGCGGUUAGAUAAGUCUGAAGUUAAAGGCAGUGGCUCAGCCAUUGUAGGCUUUGGAAACUGUUUAGCUUGGGUGCGGAAGGGGAGAGUGGAAUUCCAUGUGUAGCGGUGAAAUGCGUAGAUAUAUGGAGGAACACCGGUGGCGAGAGCGGCUCUCUGGUCUGUAACUGACGCGGAGGCUCGAGAGCGUGGGGAGCGAACAGG
rnacentral:rRNA from 1 species